GCUCCCUCCCACCGCAGCUUGACCCGGUAGUGAAGGCGGAGAGAGAGAGGCAGGCUGGGCCCGCCUGGCAGCCUGCAAGAGGAGGCGGGAGCGGGAAAGGAGGGGAGCCCAGGCCGGGAGUUGGGAGGCCGGCGGGCAGGGAUGCGAGCCGAGUGCGGACCUUUCUUCAGCCUCCUAGAGGCCGAGCGCUGUGCUAGGCUGCGGCGCUGAGAGGACGUCCUGGCUCCCCCAGGACGGGCUGGGCUAGGGCAGAGCUAGCGAGACCUGGACUUGAGUGCUACGGCUGGAGCGCCGCCGGCCCCCUGGCGCGGUACCCUGCUGAGAGAAAGCUGACUGUGGGGCCCGCUAUGGCAUUGCGGGAGAAGCCUGGGCGCUGGGAGCCGGGAGAGGCGCAGCAGCUCACUGUUAGAGACUUCGUCUCUUCACGUUUUCAGUCAGACUCGUGGCAGAGUUCUCAGAAUUCCCCUCAGAGGAGCGGAAAGUUAGAGAACUGCAGGCCCCGCACCCCCGACACCGGGGAGGGCGAAGCAGCCUCGCCUUCCCCGGGGCGGGCGCAGCCCACGCGUCGCGCCGGGACGUGAACUCCGCGUGGGAGGAGUUGUCUGGUGAAAGGCAAUUUCCAGGAGCGAGGGGAAGGGGCUUCGCGCUUCCUGGUUAGGUGCGGCGGAAGGGAAGGGGCUGCGGGGUGAAGUAAGGUUGCAGCCUCAGAGAAGUGUACAGUUUAACGCGCGAACUGCAGCCGAGACGGCAGGGGCACGCCCUCGCCCAGAAAAGCCCUCAGUGACUCGGGCUUAUAGCUUGGGAAGAAACCUUAAAUUGACCCGGCCCGACAACCUCCUGCUGCAGAGAAGGAAAAGAAGCCUCCGAAGGUGAACAUAGCGGCAGAAUCGGGGCUGGAACUCAGCUCGCCGGCCCAUCACCAGGCUCCUUUCCCUUCACCAACUUUGCAGCCAGGACGGAGAGGUGUUUGAGGAGCAAGAAUAAGGAGCCAUGGACAGUGAGACCAAAGCAUGGUAUACUCCAUCAAGAAAAAUCUUUAUAAAGGGUGAGACCUACUUGACCAGAGGUCCCUGGUACUCCCCGUGAAGCCAACCCAGCACUGGUGCCCAGAGAGAGCUGGUUCGUCACCGUGAAAGUCUGCUUGUAGAAACGGCCCCUUUAAGAGGCAUCUGCAGCUGCCAUAGGCUCCAUCCCACUCACCCGCUCUGGACCAGGCAGCCUUGCGUCCUCGCACUGUCCUACCUUCUGCCAUUGCAGAGUGAUCUCUUAGUUCCCUCCUUACUUGUAUGGCUUGUUCAUCUGGAUCCCAGCCUAUUGCAUAACUGAAGAGGGAGAUGCCAUUUUGCCUCCAUGACUUGACAAGUAUGAAGAUAAAACCUUCCCUGUGAGGAUGACAGAGAAAAAUGAUAGAAGGGGGCUUAGACUCCCUGUCUUCAGACUUCUUGUUAUGUGAGGAAAAUAAAAUGCUAUUACAAAGUUAAA